UAGGGAAUCUUCCGCAAUGGGCGAAAGCCUGACGGAGCAACGCCGCGUGAGUGAUGAAGGUCUUCGGAUCGUAAAACUCUGUUAUUAGGGAAGAACAAAUGUGUAAGUAACUAUGCACGUCUUGACGGUACCUAAUCAGAAAGCCACGGCUAACUACGUGCCAGCAGCCGCGGUAAUACGUAGGUGGCAAGCGUUAUCCGGAAUUAUUGGGCGUAAAGCGCGCGUAGGCGGUUUUUUAAGUCUGAUGGGAAAGCCCACGGCUCAACCGUGGAGGGUCAUUGGAAACUGGAAAACUUGAGUGCAGAAGAGGAAAGUGGAAUUCCAUGUGUAGCGGUGAAAUGCGCAGAGAUAUGGAGGAACACCAGUGGCGAAGGCGACUUUCUGGUCUGUAACUGACGCUGAUGUGCGAAAGCGUGGGGAUCAAACA
rnacentral:rRNA from 1 species